GCGGAUGUGGCGGAACUGGCAGACGCGCUAGACUUAGGAUCUAGUGUCUAUGACGUGCAGGUUCGAUUCCUGUCAUCCGCA
rnacentral:tRNA from 1 species